UUCCUUUCUUUCCCUCCUUUCUUUCCUUUCUUUUGGCAGAGUCUUACUGUCUCGCCCAGGCUGGAGUGCACCUCCAUCUCAAAAAAGAAAAAGAUUCCUUUUUCCUACUUACACCUAUUAAAAUAUUAAAGGAUUUAUGUUUAGGAAUUUGAGAUUUUAUCACAAAAUAUUGAAUUUACUAUGUUAACAUAGUAAAUGGCUAUAUUUUGUUAAACAUCUGUGUGAAUUCUGUUAGUAGUAGUCUCAUCUCUAUAAAAAUUGUAGCGAUUGUCCUCUUCAGUCAAUAACAAAGCCACUUAAAUUAUGUAGGAAAAGAAAUGUGGACUAGAUGAAUGUUAUUUUUAGUUAGUUCUCACUAGAAAUUAGUAUUAUAAUAUUCACAAGCUCUGACAUAAUGGAUAGAUAAUAUAUCUUUAACAAGCCAUUUUACACAAAUCCUUUUAAAUAAAUUACACAGUCUACUCACUUGGGAUUGAAACAUUUUAAAACAAACUAAGCAAGAACUACAUAAUCUAAAGUGACUGUGUGACAUAUUAGAGAGGGGACUUUUAACAAUUUUUUAAAGUAAAUUUAAUCACAGUUUCACUUUUUCUAAUCAUCUGGCAUGUCAGCAUGUCAGUUCCCUGCCCAGCCCUUUUUUUUUUUAAUUUCCAGAAAGGCUCCCUAAAGUUUACAACUGGAAAAUUUUGGAAGUAGAGUGUUUUUAGGGACAUCUAGUGCAACCUCUGCUUUACAGAUCAGUAAAUGGAGGCCCAGAGAUGACAAGUGACUUGAUCCACAGCACAGAGCUGGAGAAUGGCAAAGCCAGCAUGGACGCCACACUUCC
rnacentral:lncRNA from 1 species